GUGAUCUCUUCAGCAGCACAUAUACUAAAAUUGGAAUGAUACAGAGAUUAGCAUGGUUCCCACACGAGAAUGAUACACAAAUUUGUGAAGGGUUCUAUAUUUUU
ensembl:snRNA U6 U6 spliceosomal RNA